rnacentral:rRNA from 1 species
CCUACGGGAGACAGCAGUGGGGAAUAUUGCACAAUGGGGGGAACCCUGAUGCAGCAAUGCCGCGUGGGUGAAGAAGCACUUCGGUGCGUAAAGCCCUUUCAGCAGGGAAGAAAAUGACAGUACCUGUACAAUAAGCCCCGGCUAACUACGUGCCAGCAGCCGCGGUAAUACGUAGGGGGCAAGCGUUAUCCGGAUUUACUGGGUGUAAAGGGAGCGCAGGCGGCGUGGCAAGUCAGAUGUGAAAACCCGGGGCGCAACCCCGGGAGUGCAUUUGAAACUGGCAUGCUGGAGUGCAGGAGAGGUGAGCGGAAUUCCUAGUGUAGCGGUGAAAUGCGUAGAUAUUAGGAGGAAUACCAGUGGCGGAGGCGGCUUACUGGACGAUAACUGACGCUGAGGUGCGAAAGCGUGGGGAGCAAACAGGAUUAGAUACCCCGGUAGUC